UUGACAGUUGUACACAAUUUUGCACUAUUAAUUUUUGCAUUAGUUUUACUUUAUCGAAAUCCAAAUUUUAGAGUUUUAUGGACAAGUGUCUUAUAAUUAUUAUUAGGUUAUUAUGUGUAGGACUAGGACAUGUCAAAAUCUUCUAGUAAUUAAUUACUAAUUUUGUGACCAAGUAAGACCGUUCAGGAUGUACUUUAGUUUUGGGUGGCCUCGAAUUCUCCGAGUUCCGGAGGCAGAUCCACCCAGUCCGGUUUCACAAGUGGUCGCUAAUCGAGAUAAAAUCAUCUUUGCUGUUCUUACUCACUCAUCGCUGUCAAUUUGGACGUCUCGGCCAUGUCUUCCUGUCGUUUGUCACGAGCGAAGUCCCACCUCUGUAGACAAGUUGGGACCGAACGUCGCCCUUAUAUGGAAACCAGACUCGACAGCGAUUGUCGUCGUGACGGCCGGAGGGUAUCUCUUGUUCUACGGGUUGUCCAGUGGAAAUAAAAACCUAUACGAACAAAUCGACCCAGAUAACCAUAAGCUUCGACGUGAAAGUGACGAGCUUUUUCUUAAAGAACCCAUUCCAGCCAUCACGCUCCAACUUGUUCAAGAAAUUGCAGUUCGUGGCAAAUUCAUAGGAUGUGUCGCCUUGUUUCGCGAUGAGCUUAUGGUGUCCACGGAUGAAAACCAUAUUUUACGAUAUCGAUGGGACGGCACGGUCAAUAACGAUUUUUGCAUCGAUUUGAGAAGAAUUCCCUUCUCACUGGAUCAACAAGCUUCCCGAGCUGUUCCCAUUACCGAAUCAAACGUGUAUCCCGUCAAUCUGCAAUAUUCUCCCCUCGUUGGUGGAUUUUCUCUUGUCCUGUCCGACGGACGUGCAGCAUUUCUCACGGCAUCCACCAAAGCUUAUGACCCCAACAGCGUGCAAGGAAUUUGGGCUUCCAACAUUGACGACGCCACAUUUUCCAGUGUUAAUCACAAGUACAGAUUACUAUCGUUUGGGCGAAAAAAUGCGGAAACUUCAGUCUUUAGUGUGGACGAUCAAACGGGCGGACUUCAGCUUUUAUUCCAUUUGAAACUGUCGUCUAAAGAUUUUCCUGGGUCCCCAGGGCCUGUCAAGUGCAUGACGUGGACGCCAGACGGAUGUGCCAUUGCGAUAUCUUGGGAAAAAGGUGGUUUCGCCCUUUGGUCUGUGUUCGGUUCCCUCCUUACAUGCUCCUGGUCAUGGACCGGAGAUUUGUCCCCGUUUGCUCAGAAAAUAAUCAGAUCCCUCGACUGGGCUGCAGAGGGCUACCAGCUCUGGAUGGCUGUCGAGGAGAACGCAAUGAACACCGUGAAUGCCUAUAUACCCUCAAAAACGGGUGAAUUUCCACCCAACAGAAAGACAUCGAGAUCAAACUCGCUCCCCGAUAUUUGCUUGAGUGCGGGACUAUUUGCAGUCAUCCCGUUCGUAAAGAGCUCUCUCACUGUGAAUCCGUCAAUGAGUCAGAUUGAACACUUAUACUUGCAAGGGGAGGAUCGACUCCUGAUUAAUUUUAGUGGAGAAUCACUUCUCGCAAAUAGUGGAGGAGGAAGGUCGAGUGGUGGUGGAUUCAGUGGGGGUGGCAACAAAUCGAAAGCAAACGAACAAAUCGCACCCUUGGGGAAUAGCAAGAAUUGGGUUGUUGUUCCUAUUCCGCAUACUUACUCUGCUACGAAUUGGCCAAUCCGGUACACCGCUAUGGACCCCGAAGGUCUCAACAUUGCCGUCUCUGGCCGCUACGGCCUCGCCAUGUACUCCAUAAUGGAAAGGAAGUGGAAGUUGUUUGGCAAUGAGGCGCAAGAGAGAGAUUUUGUCGUCGUGGGUGGAAUGAUGUGGUGGCGAAACUAUCUCGUCGUUGCCGUGUAUGAUAUUGCUCAAGAUCGAGACGAAUUACGAUUUUAUCCACGAGACUCGAAACUAGACAACAAAUUUGCUCAUGUGAAACAACUUCCAUCUCAAAUUUUACUCCUCAGUUUGGAUCGGGACAAGUUGCUCGUGUUUGCGGCGGACAGUACUUUGGCAAUUUUUCAGUUGAGGAGUGAUCUAAUUCACGAUGUGACUAAUCCAAAUGCUAUUGAUCCCUGCGACUGCAUGCAAACGAUUGACAUUUCUGCUCUUUGUGUCCAUCCUGCCUGUGUGAUAUCCAUUUACCUCACCACCCUGAAAACUUCCUUCUCCUCUCCCCCGACCACCCAACAACACAGCGUCGUCAUCAAUGUCUCCGGCCGACUCAUGAUUCUCCAUCACGAAUUCCUUGUCCAAGAGAAUACACAGGGAAGUGCGCCUCAGUACAUAACCCCCACCGUAUUGGCAUCCUGCGUGGAGAUGAUUUGGUUGCCAAGAGCGUGCAAUAAUGGGAGCAGCGAAGCGUCCCAAGUUUGCUCAACACACCACAACCACAACCCAUACCUUAGCGAGGCGUUGUGGCUCUACUGCGGACAAGAGAUGCGGGUGUGGCUUCCGCUAAAGGAAAAAUCACAGAGUUCUGUUCAUACGUUUAUAUCGAGUCGAAUCAUGUUGGGAUUUCCAAUUUCAAUUUAUCCUUUGACAAUAUUGUUUGAAAAGGCUAUAAUCUUGGGGGCGGAAAACGACUGUCUGUCGUACGCGAGUGUGAGCAGUGUUGUUAGUGCUACAUCAGACCCGAAUGGAUCACUCUACACGCUAUUUCCAUUCUGUAUCCUCCAAAGAACGAGUCAAGUCUACCUCCAUCAAAUCCUGAGACAAUUAAUUCGUCGAAACCUUGGAUAUUAUGCCUGGGAGAUUGCUCGAAGUUGUUCCAAGUUACCUUAUUUCCCUCACUCGUUGGAACUUUUGUUGCACGAAGUGUUGGAGGAAGAAGCUACCAGUAAAGAGCCCAUUCCGGACGCUCUUCUUCCUUCCGUGAUAGAAUUUGUGCGAGAAUUCCCAGUCUACCUUCGAACGGUAGGACAGUGUGCGAGAAAGACAGAGUUGGCCUUAUGGCCGCAUUUAUUCUCCGUUGCGGGACGACCUCGCGCCUUAUUCGAUGAAUGCCUUCAACGUGGCCAACUCGAUAUUGCUGCGACGUAUCUGCUCGUCAUUCAAAACCUUGAGUCUCCCACUGUUUCACGAAAAUUUGCUACGCAAUUAAUGGAUAAAGCGUUAGAAGGGAGGAAAUGGGAUUUGGUGAAAGAUCUAGUCAGAUUUUUGAAGGCGAUUGAUCCCUGUGAUGUUGAACCCAUGCGCUCAUCCGUUGUUCGGUUCAACAUGCAAACGCCCCCGGUGAGCCCAUCCGAAUACGACAUUUCCAUGGUCCUGGGAACAAUGCAAGUCCCCCGAGUGAGAAGUUUGAGCACAUCCGUCGUCCCAAAAUUCGCCCAGGACGCAACGCAUCGUGAAUUAAGCAGAACAAAUUCAGAAACACGACCCUCACCUCCCCUUCCAUCAAAUAUUCAGCAAGGACAGUCCUCUAACUCACCCAGCCAAAUAUCUCCCUCCUCCAAAGCAAGCGUAUCAACUCCUCCGACAAGUGGUGGCGGUGGUAGCGGUUUAAGUGGACCCAACAAUAAUUACGCAUCCCCUUCCAGUGUAUUUGCUGACACGGCUUCCUUGUCAGGAUCGAAUUAUCAGCAAAUGCAACAGGCAUACCUCAGCGGUGGUGGUGGUGGGUAUUACGACGGUAUAGACAAACCUAUAUCUGGUGGGGUCACAUAUGUCGACGCAAUUAUUGAGCGACACGCCAGGAAAAUUUUAUCCGAAGGAAAAUUACGAGAUUUAGGAAAGUUGGCUGCCCAUCUCGAUUUUCAUUUAGUCAGUUGGUUGCAAAAGGAGAAGAAAAAGAAGGGGGUAAUGGUCACAGAUUUUGUUGCCGCGUUAAAGAUGAUUCAUACCGAGUUUGAAUGGCCGUACCCCGAAUUUUCUAAUUUGACGAUGCACAGUAGAACACCGUCCACUGAAUCCAUAAAAUUCCCGUCGCCGGAAACCACCUCACCAUUAAAACCAUUGACCGUAGAUGUGUUUGGAAACCGUCACUCAUUUUCAAGACCUGGUGGUGGGGACAGCGGGUACAAUUCUGCACCGGGAAAUAACGGAGAAAACCAUCGUUCAAUGGAAGCUAGAUUGAUGCCGCAUUCCGUUAUUAUCGCGGACGACACGGUCAGCAUACUCAGUGAAGAAAGUAUGAUGAUGGAUCAAAGCCCAAUUCAACCCUCAGACUUCACGCCGAUUAUACAUUUACCAGAAAAUGCUGGAGAAAAUAAUGUGGCCUCACUAAAUUCAUCCAAGGCUGGGGUGCAACUUCGUUUCUUACAACAAAUAAUGUGGGAAGCAGGAGCACUGGAUUGGUCACUCAUAAUUUCGGUCGCUCUCCGUGACGCUGUUGGCGUUUUUCGGACCGUGAACGCGUCUCGCGAUCAACACCCUGAUAUACUGAGAAACUUGAGAGAUGGGCUCAUCGGUAUCACAGUAUGGUCAAAUACUCAAUGUCUCGGAUACAAAGUUUUCACCACCAUGAUCAACACUCAAGUGCACGGAUUGCUAGUAAAAUAUUUAUCGUUCGCUCAAACCCAAACUCCAGCCCCAAACAGCCACCUGCUCAACUCAUCAUCUUCUAUUAAUAACGAUUCUUCCUCCUCAUCUCCUCCCUUACAAAAUCAUCACCAUCCUUCCGAUCUACAGAGACGAAAAACUGAACCGUUUCUAACCCGAAGUUCUGCAAUAACGAAUAAUAAUCCAAACAAAUUUGGACCUAAUAAUAAUACGUCUUCGUCCCUACAACCGGCAACAGCAUCAUCUCGAUUCAAUAACAGUGGACUUUCGACCGCAUUAAAUCAUCAUCACCAUCCAGGCCGACUAGUCUCUCCAAAGCCGAGCAUCACCAGCAUUCCAGAUUCAGACGAGACUUCCGAGAUCAGUGGGACGGAUUCUAUAAGUGGGAGGAGGUCUUCCCUUAGUGUGAGAGAAGUCGAUGGUGACGGGAAUAGGGUGGAAUCUUCCCUAAAAACUUCAAAAAGUGAGAAUGACAUGGUGAACGAGACAGGACAAAGUAACUGUUCCGUCAUGUAGUUUCUACUCAAUUUUAAUAAUGAAACUUAACUCGUACUUGUUUAUGCACUAGAACUAAAUACUAAUACGAAUAACCAGCAUCAAAUAUUACGUACUAUAUUAUUUCGCUAUAUUGUUAUGUAAUUUAAAUUAAUUGUGCAAAAUUCAAAUUCUAUUUCUACGUUAUUAAUUUAUAAAGUAUAAACGACUACCUCAUUUUUUAUCCAAAUUUGAAAUUGGGCCGAGUGCAGUCUUGGAAUCUUGCACAUUUUUAUACCCACCCACCAACUCAUACAUAAUAAAAUCUAUAUAAUAAUGAACGAUAAUGCAAUAAUAAUGCUACGAAUUAACAAAAUAGUUGACAACAUAUAAUUACAAAUAAUGUACAAUGCGUAAGUGAAUCCAUAAUAUUCCAGUACUAAAUGUGUAAACGUGAACAUAACCCUUAAUAAUUAUUGCCAAAUGUUAAAGAAAUCUUUAUUGAGAGCGUGUUUUGUGCUAUUAAUUAGUUUACUAGUUAGAAAAUGUGUGGACUUUGUUCAAUUGAAAUAUUUAUAGCUUUAUUAAAGUCGUCCAAAGAUGUCCAAUCCAAAGCAGUCCAGUGCAGUCAAGUGUGAUAUUAUGUAAAGAGGAAUUUGUUGGAAAUGCAAAUAUGAAAGUAUAUGGAUAAUCAUUUAAUCAUGUAAUAAAUACAAAUAAAAACCGACAUCUCGGAAAUACAAUAACGUAA